rnacentral:lncRNA from 1 species
UACAGUAAAUGGCCUAAUGGGUAAUAUUCAAAGAUGAAAAAAGAAAAACUGAAGUUUUUGGAUUUUGCCCUGUUGGGGGUGGGAGUGGAGGAGGGGGUGGGUGGUAGGGGUGAGGAAGAAGGAAGUGUGUGGAUUGGGGUAAAGGCUGUGACUUUUGCAGGGAUGAUUUGGUAGUAAUUGAAGUCUUCACAAAGAUCUGAUCUUUUUUACUGUUUAGAGGAGAGUGGAAAAAACUAAGUGAAAAAGGGAAAAAGAAGGAUUUAAGAGAAUCUAUGAUGAUAAAUGAUGGUGAGAAAAAGCUUCCUGUAAUGGCAAAUAAAAGUGGCAAAAAGUAUAUUCAUGCAUUCUUUGUGUUUUAAUAGUUUUUUCCAAUGCAUUAAUGGAAAAUAAAAAUCAUUAUGCAUACAUUACUUAGGUAUGACUUUGGCUUCUAAAUUCUAGUUAAACACAAUUUUAUAAGAAAACUUAGAAACUCUUAAUUAAACAUGGAGAGAUUUAAGUCAUUUCACCCUUGGUUGUCGCUCUUGAUUGCCACUUUCAC